rnacentral:rRNA from 1 species
UUGUCCGGAUUCAUGGGCGUAAAGGGUGCGUAGGCGGUCUAUUAAGUUGGAUGUGAAAUCCCCGGGCUUAACUUGGGGUCUGCAUCCAAUACUGGGAGACUAGAGUGCAGGAGAGGGAAGCGGAAUUCCUAGUGUAGCGGUGAAAUGCGUAGAUAUUAGGAGGAACACCAGUGGCGAAGGCGGCUUUCUGGACUGUAACUGACGCUGAGGCACGAAAGCGCGGGGAGCAAACAGGAUUAGAUACCCUGGUAGUCCACGCUGUAAACGAUGAAUACUAGGUGUAGGGGGUAUCAACUCCCCCUGUGCCGGAGCAAACGCAAUAAGUAUUCCGCCUGGGGAGUACGGCCGCAAGGUUGAAACUCAAAGGAAUUGACGGGGGCCCGCACAAGCAGCGGAGCAUGUGGUUUAAUUCAAAGCAACGCGAAGAA